UAUGGAGUCGACAUUGUAUCCUAAUAAUAGAAACUCAAAGGACGUCAAAAGAGCACUAAGACGGUCUCCUUAAGGGACCUCGCAUUAUUUAAGUCGGAGGGGGGUAGAGGAAAAAAUGGGGGGAGCCUCAAUUUUUAUUUUGGUAGAACAUGGGGGGCCUUGAAAGGUCAAAAGUAGGGUUGUGAGGGUCUUGUUUUAUAAAAUUAAACUUUCAUUUGCCAAAUUUUGGUAUUAUGUUUGAAGGAGGGUCUUGGAUUCUUUUAAACGAUCGAAGGGGUACACGGAAAACAUGAAUGCUGUCAGAUUGGGGUCUGGGCAUUGUUUUGCAUGAAAGACAUUUUCUCCUCUAAUACCCCCCCCCUCCCACCCCUUCCGACUUAAAUAAUGGCUCGUCCCUAAAGUACAGGAAAGGAAAA